AGCGAACGCUGGCGGCAGGCCUAACACAUGCAAGUCGAACGAACCUUUCGGGGUUAGUGGCGGACGGGUGAGUAACACGUGGGAACGUGCCUUUAGGUUCGGAAUAACUCAGGGAAACUUGUGCUAAUACCGAGUGUGCCCUUCGGGGGAAAGAUUAAUCGCCUUUAGAGCGGCCCGCGUCUGAUUAGCUAGUUGGUUGAGGUAAUGGCUCACCAAGGCGACGAUCAGUAGCUGGUCUGAGAGGAUGAUCAGCCACAUUGGGACUGAGACACGGCCCAAACUCCUACGGGAGGCAGCAGUGGGGAAUCUUGCGCAAUGGGCGAAAGCCUGACGCAGCCAUGCCGCGUGAAUGAUGAAGGUCUUAGGAUUGUAAAAUUCUUUCACCGGGGACGAUAAUGACGGUACCCGGAGAAGAAGCCCCGGCUAACUUCGUG
rnacentral:rRNA from 1 species